rnacentral:lncRNA from 1 species
AUUUAGGGAUGAACUUGGGUAGGGAAAGCUGAGCAUACAUAAUUUAUUUUAGGAAUGCACCAGUUCUGCCAACAUUUAUCAGAAGUCACGUUUUUAAAAAGCUAUUCUGGAACUGAAGAUGUCAUUGGUUUAUAAGAGGAAAAUGGAAGCCAAAAGCUUACACCUCAUGCUCUAUCUUUAAAAAUUAAGGUGGCAGACACAAUGAGUAGAAGGCUUUUAUGUUACCAGAAUGAAGGCUUAAAAUCUGUCAUUUUAUUGACUCGGCUUUCUUUUUAGAAAUUUCUUUAAGAUAUAAAAGCAAUGUGGAAUAUCACUCUUUCACACUCUUAAAAUAGAUUACGUUCUCUGGAACUUCUCUAAUCUGAAAUGUGUUCAAAAAGGAAAAAGAUCUUUAAAAUACGCCAGUUAGUCUAUGGUAUAAUAUUAAACACUAUUCAUCACUAGAGAAGUUAUGGUGGUAUACCCUCCCCUUUCUCAGAUGUCCACCUUAAUGCCAGAAAUGAGCGGAGUUUCCCUUUGUUGUGCAAAAUGACUGUGUCCUUGAGGGAUGUUUGGAUGCUCUUGGUAAACCGGAAUCAGCCAGAAGCAUAUCCGGUGUUAGCCUUGUUGUGUCAUCAACAUUACAACAGUGAGGAAACCCACAUAUUCCAAUGAAAGAGGAAAACUUAAAGAAGAAGUUUCCAGUGUAUUUUCUUUGAGAUAUAUUUAUUCCUAUGACCUCAGAAGAUCAGCUUUUACCGUCCAAGGUUCACUUUGCCUAAAAGCUGAUUGUUCCUGUGGAAACAGUAGCAUCGGAUGACCCUACAAACAAAGCAUUAUGACAUCAUCAGAGCCAACAACCUGGCAUGACAGAUACUAAUAAGGAAAAAAGAGGUUACAAGAAUUCUGACACUCAUCACAGUGGAUCCAAUAUCUGGUCCCUUGGGUUUCAUAUAUGUUAGAAGUAUCUUCUCAGGAGGGAAAAGUCAAUGCCAGUCAUAUCCUUUCUAGCUAUUAGAAAUGUCCAUCAGCUUACGAGGAGAUUCUCCCUCAUCUCACAAACUACCUGCAUCUCCACUUCCCUGGAAGAAAAAAAAAAUCUGGACAUACCCAAGCUGUGUAUGUGCCUGAGAUCUUCCCUUCCAAGGGUGCCACCACAGGUAACCAUCAGAGAACACACUGCUAUUUUCAAAUAAACAGAACUG